rnacentral:rRNA from 1 species
UGGCGGCAGGCCUAACACAUGCAAGUCGAGCGGUAGCACAGAGAGCUUGCUCUCGGGUGACGAGCGGCGGACGGGUGAGUAAUGUCUGGGAAACUGCCUGAUGGAGGGGGAUAACUACUGGAAACGGUAGCUAAUACCGCAUAAUGUCGCAAGACCAAAGUGGGGGACCUUCGGGCCUCAUGCCAUCAGAUGUGCCCAGAUGGGAUUAGCUGGUAGGUGGGGUAACGGCUCACCUAGGCGACGAUCCCUAGCUGGUCUGAGAGGAUGACCAGCCACACUGGAACUGAGACACGGUCCAGACUCCUACGGGAGGCAGCAGUGGGGAAUAUUGCACAAUGGGCGCAAGCCUGAUGCAGCCAUGCCGCGUGUGUGAAGAAGGCCUUCGGGUUGUAAAGCACUUUCAGCGGGGAGGAAGGCGGUGAGGUUAAUAACCUCAUCGAUUGACGUUACCCGCAGAAGAAGCACCGGCUAACUCCGUGCCAGCAGCCGCGGUAAUACGGAGGGUGCAAGCGUUAAUCGGAAUUACUGGGCGUAAAGCGCACGCAGGCGGUCUGUCAAGUCGGAUGUGAAAUCCCCGGGCUCAACCUGGGAACUGCAUUCGAAACUGGCAGGCUAGAGUCUUGUAGAGGGGGGUAGAAUUCCAGGUGUAGCGGUGAAAUGCGUAGAGAUCUGGAGGAAUACCGGUGGCGAAGGCGGCCCCCUGGACAAAGACUGACGCUCAGGUGCGAAAGCGUGGGGAGCAAACAGGAUUAGAUACCCUGGUAGUCCACGCUGUAAACGAUGUCGAUUUGGAGGUUGUGCCCUUGAGGCGUGGCUUCCGGAGCUAACGCGUUAAAUCGACCGCCUGGGGAGUACGGCCGCAAGGUUAAAACUCAAAUGAAUUGACGGGGGCCCGCACAAGCGGUGGAGCAUGUGGUUUAAUUCGAUGCAACGCGAAGAACCUUACCUGGUCUUGACAUCCACAGAACUUUCCAGAGAUGGAUUGGUGCCUUCGGGAACUGUGAGACAGGUGCUGCAUGGCUGUCGUCAGCUCGUGUUGUGAAAUGUUGGGUUAAGUCCCGCAACGAGCGCAACCCUUAUCCUUUGUUGCCAGCGGUCCGGCCGGGAACUCAAAGGAGACUGCCAGUGAUAAACUGGAGGAAGGUGGGGAUGACGUCAAGUCAUCAUGGCCCUUACGACCAGGGCUACACACGUGCUACAAUGGCAUAUACAAAGAGAAGCGACCUCGCGAGAGCAAGCGGACCUCAUAAAGUAUGUCGUAGUCCGGAUUGGAGUCUGCAACUCGACUCCAUGAAGUCGGAAUCGCUAGUAAUCGUAGAUCAGAAUGCUACGGUGAAUACGUUCCCGGGCCUUGUACACACCGCCCGUCACACCAUGGGAGUGGGUUGCAAAAGAAGUAGGUAGU